GAUGAACGCUGGCGGCGUGCCUAAUACAUGCAAGUCGAGCGAACGGACGAGAAGCUUGCUUUUCUGAUGUUAGCGGCGGACGGGUGAGUAACACGUGGAUAACCUACCUAUAAGACUGGGAUAACUUCGGGAAACCGGAGCUAAUACCGGAUAAUAUUUUGAACCGCAUGGUUCAAAAGUGAAAGACGGUCUUGCUGUCACUUAUAGAUGGAUCCGCGCUGCAUUAGCUAGUUGGUAGGGUAACGGCUUACCAAGGCAACGAUGCAUAGCCGACGUGAGAGAGGGGUCGGCCACACUGGAGCUGAGACGCGGUCCAGACUCCUACGGGAGGCAGCAGUAGGGAAUCGUACGCAGUGGGCGAAAGCCUGACGGAGCAACGCCGCGUGAGUGAUGAAGGUCUUCGGAUCGUAAAACUCUGUUAUGAGGGGAGAACAUAUGUGUAAGUAACUGUGCACAGCUUGACGGUACCUAGUCAGAAAGCCACGGCUAACUACGUG
rnacentral:rRNA from 1 species